AUUGAACGCUGGCGGCAGGCCUAACACAUGCAAGUCGAGCGAGCGGCGGACGGGUGAGUAAUGUCUGGGAAACUGCCUGCUGGCGGGGGAUAACUACUGGAAACGGUAGCUAAUACCGCAUACCAUCAGAUGUUCCCAGAUGGGAUUAGCUAGUAGGUGGGGUAAAGGCUCACCUAGGCGACGAUCCCUAGCUGGUCUGAGAGGAUGACCAGCCACACUGGAACGGAGAAACGGUCCAGACGCCUACGGGAGGCAGCAGUGGGGAAUAUUGCAAAAUGGGCGCAAGCCGGAUGCAGCCAGGCCGCGUGUAUGAAGAAGGCCUUCGGGUUGUAAAGUACGUUCAGCGGGGAGGCGUUACCCGCAGAAGAAGCACCGGCUAACUCCGUGCCAGCCGCCGCGGUAAUAC
rnacentral:rRNA from 1 species